AUACGGAGGGUGCAAGCGUUGUCCGGAUUCACUGGGUGUAAAGGGUGUGCAGGCGGGGCGGUAAGUCAGAAGUGAAAGCCCACGGCUCAACCGUGGAAUGGCUUUUGAAACUGCCGCUCUUGAGUCUCGGAGAGGUCGCUGGAAUUCGUGGUGUAGCGGUGAAAUGCGUAGAUAUCACGAGGAACACCGGAGGCGUAGGCGGGCGACUGGACGACGACUGACGCUGAGGCACGAAAGCGUGGGGAGCAAACAGGAUUAGAUACCCCAGUAGUCC
rnacentral:rRNA from 1 species